rnacentral:rRNA from 1 species
GACGAACGCUGGCGGCGUGCUUAACACAUGCAAGUCGAACGAAGUGGCGCACGGGUGAGUAACGCGUAAUCAACCUGCCCUUCAGCGGGGGACAACAGUCGGAAACGACUGCUAAUACCGCAUACUGUAGGAGGGGAUUGCGUCUGCUUAGCUAGUUGGAGGGGUAGCGGCCCACCAAGGCGAUGCUCAGUAGCCGGUCUGAGAGAAUGAACGGCCGCAUUGGGACGGAGACACGGCCCAGACUCCUACGGGAGGCAGCAGUAGGGAAUCUUCCGCAAUGGACGAAAGUCUGACGGGGCAACGCCGCGGGAGUGAUGACGGCCUUCGGGUUGUAAAGCUCUGUUAAGCGGGACGCGGUACCGGAAUAGAAAGCCACGGCUAACUACGUGCCAGCAGCCGCGGUAAUAC